GGUUUCUUUGUCUCCCUCGCUUCCUCAUUGAACCCUAGCCGUAUUCGUCUUCCUCUUUCUGGAGCGCCUCCAUCAUUCCAGCCAUUUUCUACUCAGUACCCACUUCAUCUACUCCGCCCCUUUCGUGUACGACAACAAUCUCAUCACCAUCCCUUUCAUUUUCUGGAUUCGAUCCCUUUCCUGUUCUUGCCUCCAUCAUUGAGUGGAUGCCUCACAAUCACAAUAAACUCAUAUCUUCUCUCCGUCUUCACCGGAACUAAAAUCGAUAUCAUUCAAGCUUGAUUCGUCACUGUUCAAGAACAAAAAUUGAUAUCACUUAAUUUUCAAGUUCAACUUGGAGAGGAAGUAAUUGCUCUGUCUUGCAUUCUCUCGAGUUUUGUUCAGGAUGGAGAAAAGACUUGUCCUCUAUGUGAAUGGAUUUGAGAGAUAAGAAAUUGAAAUCUUGUAGAUGUGGUUAUGAGUUUUGAUUCUAUCUGUGUGGAGUUAUGAGGUUAUAAAUAAAGACUUCGAAUUACUGAAGGCAUCUGUACUUAGUUUAAAAAACCGGAGAUGAACAAGGCUCUCACUAUCAGAACCAAGAACUUCAUGACAAACAAGCUCCUCAAGAAAUUUUUUUUGGGCUAUAUUGUAGUCUUGUAGCUUUCUAGUUGUCUUUUGUAAAACUUUUAUAUGUAGAAAUUAGCUUAUCAUUUUAUAGGGUAAAAAGAAUUAAUGUUUUAUUUAAUACUAGAGAUUCUAUUACAUUUAUAUUAUUAAUUAAUGUUUUAGAAUGA